rnacentral:rRNA from 1 species
AAAGAAAUCGUUAAGGGCGUAUGGCGGAUGCCUAGGCUUUCAGAGGCGACGAAGGACGUGGUAAGCUGCGAAAAGCUACGGGGAUUGGCACACACGAAUUGAUCCGUAGAUAUCCGAAUGGGGCAACCCAAUACAUUGAAGAUGUAUUACCUCGUAAGAGGGGCAAACCCGGAGAACUGAAACAUCUAAGUACCCGGAGGAAAAGAAAUCGAAGAGAUUCCGUAAGUAGUGGCGAGCGAAAGCGGAUUAGCCCAAAAGUCUUUAUAUAUUUAGAAGAAUGUUCUGGAAAGAACAGCCAUAGACGGUGAUAGCCCGGUAUUCGAAAGGUAUAUUUGGAUGAUAAAUGAGUAGGGCGGGACACGUGAAAUCCUGUCUGAAUAUGGGGGGACCAUCCUCCAAGGCUAAAUACUCCUGAAAGACCGAUAGUGAACAAGUACUGUGAAGGAAAGGUGAAAAGCACUUCGAAUAGAAGGGUGAAAUAGAACCUGAAACCGUACGCCUACAAGCGGUCGGAGCAGCGUAAAGCUGUGACGGCGUGCCUUUUGCAUAAUGAGCCUACGAGUUAAUUUUACUAGCGAGGUUAAGUAAUUAAGUUACGGAGCCGGAGCGAAAGCGAGUCUGAAUAGGGCGCAUAGUUAGUAGGAUUAGACGCGAAACCUUGUGAUCUACCCAUGGGCAGGUUGAAGCUCUGGUAACACAGAGUGGAGGACCGAACCGGUUGACGUUGAAAAGUCUUCGGAUGACCUGUGGGUAGGGGUGAAAGGCCAAUCAAACUGGGAGAUAGCUCGUACUCUCCGAAAUGCAUUUAGGUGCAGCGUCGCAACAAAGUUUAUUAGAGGUAGAGCUACUGAUUGGAUGCGGGGGUUUCACCGCCUACCAAUUCCUGACAAACUCCGAAUGCUAAUAAAUGUUUUGCGGCAGUGAGGGCAUGGGUGCUAAGGUCCAUGUCCGAGAGGGAAAGAACCCAGACCAACAGCUAAGGUCCCCAAAUAUAUGUUAAGUUGAAGCAACGCGGUUGGACUGCAUUGACAGCUAGGAUGUUGGCUUGGAAGCAGCCAUUCAUUUAAAGAGUGCGUAACAGCUCACUAGUCGAGCGGUCCGGCAUGGAUAAUAAUCGGGCAUAAACAUAUUACCGAAGCUAUGGAUUUAUAUUUUAUAAUAUAUCUGGUAGGAGAGCAUUCUAUUUGCGCCGAAGCAGUACUGUGAGGUAUUGUGGAGCGGAUAGAAAAGAAAAUGUAGGCAUAAGUAACGAUAAAGGGGGCGAGAAACCCCCUCACCGAAAGACCAAGGCUUCCUCAGCCAUGCUAAUCAGCUGAGGGUUAGUCGGGACCUAACGCGAACCCGAAAGGGGUAGUGGAUGGACACAGGGUUAAUAUUCCCUGACUUGCUCACGAUAAAAGGGGACGGUUGGAUGUAUCUGCUGGAGACUGACGGAAUAGUCAAGGCCUAGCCUUCGGGCGAAGCUGCUGUAGAGUAAUCUGAUCCAAGAAAAGCCGAAGUGAAGCAACCCGUACCAAAACCGACACAGGUGGUCGAGGAGAGAAUCCUAAGGUGCUCGAGUGAGUCGUGGCUAAGGAACUAGGCAAAAUAGUCUCGUAACUUCGGAAGAAGAGACGCCUCCCUCCGGGGAGGCCGCAGUGAAGAGGCCCAGGCGACUGUUUAUCAAAAACACAGGACUCUGCUAAAUCGAAAGAUGCUGUAUAGGGUCUGACACCUGCCCGGUGCUGGAAGGUUAAGGAAGGUGCUUAGCGUAAGCGAAGGCAUUAACUGAAGCCCCAGUAAACGGCGGCCGUAACUAUAACGGUCCUAAGGUAGCGAAAUUCCUUGUCGGGUAAGUUCCGACCUGCACGAAUGGUGUAACGAUCUGGGCACUGUCUCAGCCACGAGCUCGGUGAAAUUGUAGUAUCGGUGAAGAUGCCGAUUACCCGCAAUGGGACGAAAAGACCCUGUGAACCUUUACUAUAACUUCGUAUUGACUUUGAGUAAGUAAUGUGUAGGAUAGGUGGGAGGCUUUGAAGCAGGCACGCUAGUGUUUGUGGAGCCGUCGUUGAAAUACCACCCUUUACUUACUUGGAGCCUAACUUCCUAUGGAAGGACAUUGCGUGGUGGGUAGUUUGACUGGGGUGGUCGCCUCCAAAAGAGUAACGGAGGCUUUCAAAGGUACCCUCAGCACGCUUGGUAACCGUGCGUAGAGUGUAAUGGCAUAAGGGUGCUUGACUGUGAGACCAACAAGUCGAUCAGGUGCGAAAGCAGGACAUAGUGAUCCGGUGGUUCCGUAUGGAAGGGCCAUCGCUCAUAGGAUAAAAGGUACUCCGGGGAUAACAGGCUAGUCUCCCCCAAGAGCUCACAUCGACGGGGAGGUUCGGCACCUCGAUGUCGGCUCGUCACAUCCUGGGGCUGGAGAAGGUCCCAAGGGUUGGGCUGUUCGCCCAUUAAAGUGGCACGCGAGCUGGGUUCAGAACGUCGUGAGACAGUUCGGUCUCUAUCUAUUGCGGGCGUUAGAUGUUUGAGAGGGCUUGAUUCUAGUACGAGAGGACCGAAUUGAACAAACCUCUGGUGUAUCAGUUGUACCGCCAGGUGCACCGCUGAGUAGCUACGUUUGGAAGAGAUAAGCACUGAAAGCAUAUAAGUGCGAAACUCGCCUCAAGAUGAGACAUCUUUUAAGGGUCGUUGUAGAUGACAACGUUGAUAGGCUAUAGGUGUAAAGGCAGUAAUGUCAUAGCCGAGUAGUACUAAUUACCCGUAGAUUUAUAGCCU